rnacentral:rRNA from 1 species
CGGGUGAGUAACACGUGGGAACGUGCCCUUUGGUUCGGAACAACUCAGGGAAACUUGAGCUAAUACCGAAUGUGCCCCCAUCCUUGAUCGGAUGGGUGGGAAAGAUUUAUCGCCAUUGGAGCGGCCCGCGUCUGAUUAGCUAGUUGGUGGGGUAAAGGCCCACCAAGGCUACGAUCAGUAGCUGGUCUGAGAGGAUGAUCAGCCACACUGGGACUGAGACACGGCCCAG